rnacentral:rRNA from 1 species
UUGAACGCUGGCGGCAUGCUUUACACAUGCCGGUCGAACGGCAGCGCGGGCUUCGGCCUGGCGGCGAGUGGCGAACGGGUGAGUAAUGCAUCGGAACGUGCCCAGUAGUGGGGGAUAGCCCGGCGAAAGCCGGAUUAAUACCGCAUACGACCUGAGGGUGAAAGCGGGGGACCGAAAGGCCUCGCGCUAUUGGAGCGGCCGAUGUCGGAUUAGCUAGUUGGUGGGGUAAAGGCUUACCAAGGCGACGAUCCGUAGCUGGUCUGAGAGGACGACCAGCCACACUGGGACUGAGACACGGCCCAGACUCCUACGGGAGGCAGCAGUGGGGAAUUUUGGACAAUGGGGGCAACCCUGAUCCAGCCAUGCCGCGUGCGGGAAGAAGGCCUUCGGGUUGUAAACCGCUUUUGUUCGGGAAGAAAUCCUCUGGGCUAAUACCCCGGGGGGAUGACGGUACCGGAAGAAUAAGCACCGGCUAACUACGUG